GGGGAAUAUUGCACAAUGGGCGAAAGCCUGAUGCAGCAACGCCGCGUGAGUGAUGAAGGUCUUCGGAUUGUAAAGCUCUGUCUUUUGGGACGAUAAUGACGGUACCAAAGGAGGAAGCCACGGCUAACUACGUGCCAGCAGCCGCGGUAAUACGUAGGUGGCGAGCGUUGUCCGGAUUUACUGGGCAUAAAGGGUGCGUAGGCGGAUGUUUAAGUGAGAUGUGAAAUACCCGGGCUUAACUUGGGUGCUGCAUUUCAAACUGGAUAUCUAGAGUGCAGGAGAGGAGAAUGGAAUUCCUAGUGUAGCGGUGAAAUGCGUAGAGAUUAGGAAGAACACCAGUGGCGAAGGCGAUUCUCUGGACUGUAACUGACGCUGAGGCACGAAAGCGUGGGUAGCAAACAGGAUUAGAUACCCUGGUAGUCCACGCCGUAAACGAUGAGUACUAGGUGUAGGAGGUAUCGACCCCUUCUGUGCCGCAGUAAACACAUUAAGUACUCCGCCUGGGAAGUACGAUCGCAAGAUUAAAACUCUAAAGUGAAUUGAC
rnacentral:rRNA from 1 species